rnacentral:rRNA from 1 species
AUUGAACGCUGGCGGCCGGCCUAACACAUGCAAGUCGCACGAGUGGCGGACGGGUGAGUAAUGUCUGGGAAACUGCCCGAUGGAGGGGGAUCACUACUGGCAACGGUAGCUAAUCCCGCAUACCAUCAGAUGUGCCCAGAUGGGAUUAGCUAGUAGGUGGGGUAAAGGCUCACCUAGGCGACGAUCACUAGCUGGUCUGCGAGGAUGACCAGCCACACUGGAACUGAGACACGGGCCAGACUCCUACGGGAGGCAGCAGUGGGGAAUAUUGAACAAUGGGCGCAAGCCUGAUGCAGCCAUGCCGCGUGUAUGAAGAAGGCCGUCGGGUUGUAAAGGACUUUCGGCAGGGAGGCGUUACCCGAAGAAGAAGCACCGGCUAACUACGGGCCAGCAGCCGCGGUAAUAC